AUACGGAGGAUCCGAGCGUUAUCCGGAUUUAUUGGGUUUAAAGGGAGCGUAGGCGGAUGUUUAAGUCAGUUGUGAAAGUUUAAGGCUCAACCUUGAAAUUGCAGUUGAUACUGGACGUCUUGAGUGCAUUAAAUGUGGGCGGAAUUCGUGGUGUAGCGGUGAAAUGCUUAGAUAUGACGAAGAACUCCAAUUGCGACGGCAGCUCACGGGACUGUAACUGACGCUGAUGCUCGAAAUUGUGUGUAUCAAACAGGAUUAGAUACCCUCGUAGUCCACACAAUAGACGAUGGAUGCUCGCUGUUCGCGAUAUACAGUAAGCGGCCAAGCGAAAACGUUGAGUAUUCCACCUGGGGAGUACGCCGGCAACGGUGA
rnacentral:rRNA from 1 species